GAUGAUGUGGCCGAGUGGUCCAAGGCGGUAGAUUAAGGCUCUAUUCCGAAAGGGCGCGAGUUCGAACCUCGCCAUCAUCA
rfam:Ichthyophthirius multifiliis unplaced genomic scaffold scaff_1120509251100, whole genome shotgun sequence.